GAGGAUAGGCAGAUACGGUUUGCUGCGCUGCUUUGCUAAAGCAGUCUGCCUGUUUAGGGUAGUGAGGGUUCGAAUCCCUUGUCCUCCA
rnacentral:tRNA from 1 species